rnacentral:misc_RNA from 1 species
GUAAUGGUUUUUCACACAUAAGAUAGUCUUUAGUGGCUGAAACUUUUUGUGCUCUUUAUUGCGCUUGCAACCAAUACAAGGACAUGAAUACCUUUUAAUAAGCGUCGUCCCAGAGCUGGAAUCCUUCUGAGGCUUUAUAAGAGCAGCUGAAGUUUUGUAUUCAUCCCCAUGACCCCUCAUGUGCAUCCGCAAAUUGGCAUCUCUCUUAAAUCCCUUCCCACAAAUUGUGCAAAAGUGAGUAUGAGGUGCAAGAAUUUCCUCUUUCUCCAGCUGCAGAAUCUCGUAGGAACCAGGAGGUAGGUUCUCUUCCUCAUGGGGUUCAUCUUCAUCUUUCGCCUCAUGUUCAUCAACAAAAC